GGUCAGUGAUGAAAAAUAGCCAGAUAUGAAUAUCAGGAGACUUUCUGAUCUUUGUGGUACAUGAGCUAUAUGUGUUUCUGAGA